rnacentral:ncRNA from 1 species
UGCAUCAAUCUAGGGGUGCCUGUAAAUCGGGCUGAGAUUAUACCCAUACAACCUGAUCCGGAUAAUGCCGGCGUAGGGAAAUAGAUAUGCCGAUCG